AGUAUCUGAAGCAAAGAAGAAAGGGGGAGAUGGAGCAGAACUGCGAACAGGGGAGCGACGAGCCGCGCUACUGUCGCCGGUCACCUCGACGCCGUGCCCAGAUCGCGUCCAGCGCUCGUCACUGCCAUUCGUCCUCAGCCUCAUCACGUUCUUGUUCGGCCGCCGCUGCUUCCAUGUCCUCCAACGGCGCUGCUAUUGUUGCAGAUUGAGUCGCCGCGAAGAGGAGGAAAGGGCGUUGCUUCACACCUCGCCGCCGUCGCCAGUCGCGCGAGAGAGAGACGCGCCGUGAGGGGGUAGCCACCGCGCUCAGCCGCCAUCACUUCCUGCCACCAUCGGAGCUCGCGUCACUGUCACCCAUGGCCGUCACUUCUGCUGUGCUCCAUUCGGGUUCUGGGUUGAGCCACGCCGAAACCAGAACUGCGAACGUGAGGGAUGCGACGCAGGAGCCCGAUGCGAGAAAGAGGGAGCGCGCGUGCGCGCGCAGGGGAAGGGCGACGCUGCUGAGCUGCCGCCGCCACUGCCGUCGGAAGCUACCGUUAGAACCGCUACUGAUUUGGUGAGCCUUGCCCUAUUUCUGAUUCCUUGUUCUGCCAGUUUAUUUCUACCUUGGAGCAUGUCACUGAAAUUGUUUGUAUGGGAUGAGGUGAUUAUUGUAAAUUCCUUGCCGCUGCCGCCGCUGGAAUCACGGACCAAGGUGGUGGAGAAGGCCUUUUUCCCGCUGCUGCUAUAAUCGUUCUUACUGUUGCUGUUGUUUCGUUUGGUAAUUCAGUUCGAGUUCUGAUGAUUGCGUGUCGCAUAAGUGUUGCGGAGGCUGCUGUGCCAUUCCUUUUAUUUCAGAAGUAGUAACUGAGCUUAUAUGUGGCAUUGAGGCUGUUUCUACUUUUGAGAAAAAACACGCGAAGCCGGGACUUUGAUUGUCGACUUCGGGUUGAGGCGGGAAGGACUCUGUGACGCGUUUGGGUUAUGGAAUUGCGUUUUGAGGUAGGGGCGCUUUCCAAAA